rnacentral:lncRNA from 1 species
UUCUUACAGACCCUGUGCCCUACUCAGGACUGUCUGUGUAUCAUGUCAGGAAGUACUCAUGUCUUUCAGAAACAUGGACUGAAAGAAUCAGAGUCCUCAGCAGAGCCAAGCUGGAAGGGUAGAUAGAAAGAAGAGGCAUGGAAGAUGUCCAAUGUCAUGGAAAAGCUGGCUGUGUAGGAUCAUUCUGGAGACAGCAACCCUAACUAAGACACCAGCUAUGUACAAACCCAAUGAGAAGUUCGAGGUGAAGCAUACAGAGCGUUAAGGUGAGAACAGUGCUUUAAUUCCUAAUCCACUCAAGGAGCCCCUGAAAGACAUUGUUUGUGGAUCUAGAAUCCUUCUGGAGAUGGGAAACACAGACUGGAGCAUGACAGGUAUGAUGGGGGAUGUCCUUCUGUAUAUAUGUUUCUCUUAUAGGUUGACGAAUAAGGCACUGUUUGGCUGAUAGAGGAAGGAAGAUAGGUGGAACUGGGAGAUGAUGAGAAUUCUGGGAGAGUUAAGCAGAGAGAGGCACCUCCAGGAAUGCCAUGUACCAAAG